rnacentral:rRNA from 1 species
GACGAACGCUGGCGGCGUGCCUAAUACAUGCAAGUUGAGCGCUGAAGGUUGGUACUUGUACCAACUGGAUGAGCAGCGAACGGGUGAGUAACGCGUGGGGAAUCUGCCUUUGAGCGGGGGACAACAUUUGGAAACGAAUGCUAAUACCGCAUAAAAACUUUAAACACAAGUUUUAAGUUUGAAAGAUGCAAUUGCAUCACUUAAAGAUGAUCCCGCGUUGUAUUAGCUAGUUGGUGAGGUAAAGGCUCACCAAGGCGAUGAUACAUAGCCGACCUGAGAGGGUGCUCGGCCACAUUGGGACUGAGACACGGCCCAAACUCCUACGGGAGGCAGCAGUAGGGAAUCUUCGGCAAUGGACGAAAGUCUGACCGAGCAACGCCGCGUGAGUGAAGAAGGUUUUCGGAUCGUAAAACUCUGUUGGUAGAGAAGAACGUUGGUGGGAGUGGAAAGCUCAUCAAGUGACGGUAACUACCCAGAAAGGGACGGCUAACUACGUG